rnacentral:rRNA from 1 species
AGAAUUAGAGGAUGGAAGGAAAAAUUAUUAUCUGUGGGUGGUAGAGAGGUUUUGCUAAAGGCAGUGAUUCAGGCAAUUCCUACAUAUGCUAUGUUAGUCUACAAACUACCCAAACACAUGUGCAAUAGUAUCACCACUGCCAUGUCUAAGUAUUGGUGGGUCGAUGAUGAUCUUAAAAAACAUAUGCACUGGUUUGCAUGGUGGCAGAUGUGUGUUCUGAAAUAA